UGGGGGAUAUUGCGGCAAUGGGGGGAAACCCUGACGCAGCAAUGCCGCGUGAAGGAAGAAGGUCUUCGGAUUGUAAACUUUUGUCUUUGGUGACGAAGAAUGACGGUAGCCAAGGAGGAAGCUCCGGCUAACUACGUGCCAGCAGCCGCGGUAAUACGUAGGGAGCGAGCGUUGUCCGGAUUUACUGGGUGUAAAGGGCGCGUAGGCGGGCCUGCAAGUCAGAUGUGAAAUACCGGGGCUUAACCCCGGGACUGCAUUUGAAACUGUGGGUCUUGAGUGCGGGAGAGGAAAGCGGAAUUCCUAGUGUAGCGGUGAAAUGCGUAGAUAUUAGGAGGAACACCGGUGGCGAAGGCGGCUUUCUGGACCGUAACUGACGCUGAGGCGCGAAAGCGUGGGGAGCAAACAGGAUUAGAUACCCUGGUAGU
rnacentral:rRNA from 1 species